AGCCAAUCUGCGGGUUCGCGUGGCGAUAUAGGCGUAGGGGGUGGGCCGGGAGCUCGGUUUCCGGUGGCAGGGUCUGAAGAAGGGGCUGCAGCGCCAUGUCCGGCCGCGAAGGUGGCAAGAAAAAGCCCCUGAAACAGCCUAAGAAGCAGGCCAAGGAGAUGGAUGAGGAAGAUAAGGCGUUCAAACAGAAACAAAAAGAGGAGCAGAAGAAACUGGAGGAACUAAAAGCGAAGGCCGCGGGGAAGGGCCCCCUCGCCACAGGUGGAAUUAAGAAAUCUGGCAGAAAAUAAGCUGUUCCUUGUGCCUGAGAUGAUGGUGAUUGAUUCCUGUUUAAACAUCUAUAUUCCAGGCUGUGCCUGUGGCUCAACGGAGUAGGACACUGGCCCCAUAUGCCAGAGGUGGUGGGUUCAAACCCAGCCCUGGCCAAAAACUGCAAAAAAAAAAAUAAUAAUAAACAACUGUAUUCCCUGUCAUAACAUCUUUUGCCACCUAUAGGUAAAAUGAAGUGUUGUCUUAGAGCCUGUUGUACAUUUAAGAAUAAACUUUUGUUAAAAAAGU